UGGUGGGGUAACGGCCCACCAAGCCGAAGAUCCGUACGGGCCAUGAGAGUGGGAGCCCGGAGAUGGACCCUGAGACACGGGUCCAGGCCCUACGGGGCGCAGCAGGCGCGAAACCUCCGCAAUGCGGGAAACCGCGACGGGGUCAGCCGGAGUGCCGAUGCUUGCAUCGGCUGUCGGGGAGCCUAAAAAGCUCCCCAUAGCAAGGGCCGGGCAAGGCCGGUGGCAGCCGCCGCGGUAAUACCGGCGGCCCGAGUGGCGGCCACUAUUAUUGGGCUUAAAGCGUCCGUAGCCGGGUUGGUUAGUCUCCCGGGAAAUCUGGCCGCUUAACGGUCAGAAUUCCGGGAGAUACUGCCAGCCUAGGGACCGGGAGAGGCCGAGGGUAUUCCCGGAGUAGGGGUGAAAUCCUAUAAUCCCGGGAGGACCACCUGUGGCGAAGGCGCUCGGCUGGAACGGGUCCGACGGUGAGGGACGAAGGCCAGGGGAGCAAACCGGAUUAGAU
rnacentral:rRNA from 1 species